CUUCAUUGCGGUGCACAGGCUUCUCAUUGCAGUGGCUUCUCUUGUUGUGGAGCUCGGGCUCUAGGCACAUGGGCUCUAGAGUGCAGGCUCAGUAGUUGUGGCGCACGGGCUUAGCUGCUCUGCGGCGUGUGGGAUCUUCCCGGACCAGGGCUCGAACCCAUGUCCCCUGCAUUGGCAGGUGGAUUCUUAACCACUGUGCCACCAGGGAAGUCCCCAAAACAUACAAUUUUAAAUGGUGUGGUUGAGGGACGCCUCAAUGAAAAGGCUUAAAGAGAUGAAGGAGGAAAUUAUGUGGAUAACUCAGGGGAAAAUACUCCAGGCAGAAUAAACAGCAAACAUUAAAGCCCUGAAGCAGACCUGGGCCUACUGAGAAACUGAGAAUUAGCCAGGAGGCCACGGAGAGCAGAGCCAGCAAGGAAGACAGUAGGAGAUGUGGUCAAAGUGGCAGUGGGGGUGGUGGCUGAACGCGUGGGGCCUUGAGUGCCCUCAGAUGUACUUCAGCUUUUAUUUGAAUUAUGAAAAAUGAGAAGCCAUUUUAUGAUAAAUGAGAAGACAAAUGAAUUCUGAGUAGAAGAGCGAUGUCAUUCAACAUUUUAGCAGGUCGCUACGACUGCUUAGUUGAGAACAGUGUGUAGGGGGCAGAGGAGGAGAAGAGGACAGAGGCUGCUGUAAUUAAUCGAGGACGCUAAGAGACGAUGGUGGCCUGUGUGACCAAGGCGACCAUGGUGAUGACGAGUGCUCAGGAUUUGGAUGCUGCGCAGGAAAAAAAGUUACCAGGCUUGAAACUGCUUUUCUUAGAAAGGCCUGCUUACCAGGCCUGGUGGGCAUCUGGGAACUUGGAUUUGGGAGGGUCCCCACCAUAAACUGUACUAUGUGGUUUAUGCUGAACUCCUGCUUUCCUCCUGGGAGUGUGGAAUUUUGGUACGUGCCAGGCAUAGACUCUGGGCACUAAGUCUCUAAAGAGCUUUCCUGGUAGACUUUUCCACGUGUUGUCACAACUCUGCUGGAGGAAUUAAGUGUGUCCUUUGUGACUCCACUGGGAAAACACUCUUGGAAGCUUUCUCCUGGUUUCCUUUGGACUUUACCCCACAUGCCCUCUUCUUUUACUGAUUCUGCUUUGCGUCCUUUCGUUGUAAUAAAACAUAGCUGUAGGACCAUAUGCUGAGUCCUGUGAAUCCUAGCAAACCACUGAGCCUGGGCGUGGUCUUUGCGACUCCGUACACAAAUAUUCUGAUGGAAGAAACAGAGGAUUUACUGAAGUGCAGCACAUGAAAAAGAGGAGCAACUAGAAGGACGGAGCUGCCAUUAAUGAGAUGGCAAAGAAUGUGUGAGUUUUAGAGAGAAAGGGGUUGGGUUUUGGACAUGUUAAGAUCAUUAUUAUACAUUUGAGAGGAAAGGUUUCCCGUAUCCACAUUGCUGUCUUUUCUAAAAUUUGACUAACUAUGUCACACCACUGAUUAAAGUCUCUCAGGGGACUUGAAUAAAAAUCAGAAGUCCCUAGCAUAGCAUUCAUGCUCUUGCCUCACCUCUCAUUGCUCCACCCCCCAAAUUCUUGCUUCCCCCAUACAACCUACUCAUUCUCUGCCUUUGUGCCUCUGCUCCUGGUGCUGCCUCUGCUAGGAAUGCUCUUUCCCACUAUCCUGGCUUCUCAUCUUCCAAGCAUCGAUCUGCUAUCAGCUCUUCUGGAAGUCCUUUCCCCGUCUGGGUUAUGCACCCUCUCCUCCGUGCUCCUUCAGCCUCCCUCUCUAGAAACUAAGCAAGGACCCUGUCUUAAUUCUACAACCAGCACAGUGCCUGGUAAGCAGAGUUAAGGGCAGGAUGUGUGGUUACUGAAUGAACGAAUGGCUAUCCCUUGGAUUUUAAGUUCCCAAACCCAGACAAGUCAGACAACUGUACACAUAAUUCUAUAACUUCUUUGACUUGAAGGGGCCCUGGGCCAUUCUCAUUAAAAAACUGAGAACAGUCUCAGAGGCCUAUUUCACGAGUUUACAUUUCAGGUGCCUAUUUAUGGAUAAGUGAGCUGAAAAUCUCAAUGUCUUGCUAGUGUGGAGAUGCAGUAUUUUAAAACCCGUCCUCAGAAACUUCUAGGGUGUAUCAGUGCAUGUUUGGCCCGACAGCCUAUAAGUGUAACAUCUACAAUAGAAGAAAAGUUCUGGAAAUCUGUGAUAACGGUCUCAGGGAGGGUCAGAAUCCACACAGACAUUGCAGCAAAGAGAAAGGACUUAAUUACUUUAGACAUUUCCCCCACAGCUGAAAUCGAAAGUACAGUUUGCAGCUAAUGAAAAAUACAAUCAAUCAGAA